rnacentral:rRNA from 1 species
UAAAAAUGUAAAUAUUUAAUUCAAGUGAUUAAUAGUUAAGUUCUUUAAAGCUAAAUAAUUUGGCGGUAUUUUAUACUUUUCAGAGGAACCUGUACUUUAAUUGAUAAUCCACGAUAAAAGUAACUUAAUUUAGAAACUUUUAUAUCAUCGUUUUUAAAUAUUUUUUUAGAAUUUAAUAUUUAUAAUUUUUUAUUAAAAAAUAAAUCAGAUCAAGGUGAAGUUUAUAAUUAAGUAGAUAUGGGUUACAAUAUUUUUUAUUUUUGAAUAAUUUAUUUAAAUAUAUUUUUGAAAUUGGAUUUGUUAGUAAUUUUAAAAAUUUUUUUAAAAUGAUUAAGUACUGAAAUAUGC